rnacentral:rRNA from 1 species
GACAGAGGCCCCAAGCGUUAGGCGGAAUCACUGGGCUUAAAGCGUGUGUAGGCGGACGCCUAAGUGUCUUGUGAAAUCCCACGGCUCACCCGUGGAACUGCUGGGCAUACUGGGCAUCUUGGGCCAACUAGGGGCAGCCGGAACAAGCGGUGGAGCGGUGAAAUGCGUAGAUAUCGCUUGGAACGCCGAAGGUGAAAACAGGCUGCUGGGGUUGCGCCGACGCUGAGACACGAAAGCCAGGGGAGCAAACGGG